rnacentral:rRNA from 1 species
GUGUCAGCCGCCGCGGUAAUACCAGCUCUCCGAGUGGUGGGGAUGAUUAUUGGGCCUAAAGCAUCCGUAGCCGGCUGGACAAGUCCCCUGUUAAAUCCAACGAUCCAAUCGUUGGUCUGCGGGGGAUACUGUCCGGCUUGGGGGCGGGAGAGGCCGCCGGUAUUUCCGGGGUAGGGGUGAAAUCCUAUAAUCCCGGGAGGACCACCAGUGGCGAAGGCUGUCGGCUAGAACGCGCCCGACGGUGAGGGAUGAAAGCUGGGGGAGCGAACCGGAUUAGAUACCCGGGUAGUCCCAGCUGUAAACGAUGCAGGCUAGGUGUUAGGGCGGCUACGUGCCGCUCUAGUGCCGCAGGGAAGCCGUUAAGCCUGCCGCCUGGGGAGUACGGUCGCAAGGCUGAAACUUAAAUGAAUUGGCGGGG